AAAACGGCCCUUCUCAGGGCCACAAUUUUCUUUCAACUUGAGAACA
rfam:Apis mellifera strain DH4 linkage group 1, whole genome shotgun sequence.